rnacentral:rRNA from 1 species
GAUGAACGCUAGCGGCAGGCUUAAUACAUGCAAGUCAAGGGGGUAGCAAUACAACCGGCGCACGGGUGAGUAACGCGUAUGCAACAUGCCUUCCAGCGGGGGAUAUACCAGGGAAACUUGGCGCAAUACCCCAUAGAAUUACGGGACCGCAUGGUCUUGUGAUUAAAACUCCGGUGCUGGGAGAUUGGCAUGCGUGACAUUAGCUAGUUGGCGGGGUAACGGCCCACCAAGGCGACGAUGUCUAGCUGGUCUGAGAGGAUGAUCAGCCACACUGGGACUGAGACACGGCCCAGACUCCUACGGGAGGCAGCAGUGGGGAAUCUUGGACAAUGGGCGCAAGCCUGAUCCAGCCAUGCCGCGUGAGUGAAGAAGGCCUUAGGGUUGUAAAACUCUUUCGCCGGUGAAGAUAAUGACGGUAACCGGAGAAGAAGCCCCGGCUAACUUCGUGCCAGCAGCCGCGGUAAAGUAGUCG